GGGAAGAGGUCGCUGGAGGAGGUGGCGCAGCGCAAAAAACCUCAGUCCAUCAACUCACGACGGCUCCUUCUCCCUUCCUGGGUGUCCUCCACCGAUUCUGCAUCGUCCUCCCCGUCUGACCUCCACACUCCAGCCUCCAGCUCGCAACGCCCCCAGCUCGGGUGGCUCGUUAUGCGUAGCGAUGUAGCUGUUCCUGCGGCCAACCUUGGCUGUGCCCAGGGCCGUCACCUUCCCGACUAGAAGAACUCAGGAAGUGGGUCACAUCUCCAUAGACGACAAGGGCAGAGGCCUUGUGUCCUCCGAUCCCCACGGAGGCGGGACCCAGGGGCCCUCAGCUUGCAGCGUGGGACAGCUGGUUCGUCUAGACCCGGGUUUCUCCACCCCGCUGCGGUGGACAUUCUGGUCCAGACGCUUCUCAGCGCAGGCGCAAAUGCGAAGCAAGCUAUGUCAAAGUGAGUUGUGUCGUUUAUGCCAACUCUCCUGAGAGAAGAGAGAGGAUGGACCAUUGAGGAGCACAGAGAAUUUCGCCUGCCUUUUCACUCGAUGCCUGUGAGUCAGGGUGAGCUGGGCGAGUUUUCCCUUCUCUGAGCGUGAGUCAAGAGUCUAAAGAUGGGACUGGGGACAGAGCUCAGAAGCAGAGCUCCUGCCUAGCUUCAUGAGGCUGAUUUUGACCCCCAUCCCCAGCACCAAAUCGAAACAAACAACAAACGCCUUGGAGGGUGAGGAUGUGGCACAGUGACCGAGCAAGCGCCUGCCUCCCUGUAAGAUUUAAUGGGUUUAAUCCCCAGCACUGAGAAACAAGAAGAAAAAUCACAUCUGAAGACCCGCACUUCUUUCCAUGAACCAUCAAAGGCACAUCAGCCAUGCCACCCGGUGUUUGCAUGUGAAUAAAGGUUUUCAAAGGUGA